rnacentral:rRNA from 1 species
UUAGUGGCAGACGGGUGAGUAAUGCGUAGGAAUCUACCUAGUAGUACGGAAUAGCCAUUAGAAAUGGUGGGUAAUACUGUAUAAUCCCCGAGGGGGAAAGAUUUAUCGCUAUUAGAUGAGCCUACGUUAGAUUAGCUAGUUGGUGAGGUAAUGGCUUACCAAGGCUAUGAUCUAUAGCUGGUCUGAGAGGACGAUCAGCCACACUGGAACUGAGAUACGGUCCAGACUCCUACGGGAGGCAGCAGUGGGGAAUAUUGGACAAUGGGCGAAAGCCUGAUCCAGCUAUGCCGCGUGAGUGAAGAAGGCCUUCGGGUUGUAAA